GAGCCAUUUCUUUGUGUUUGUAUUGAAAAUGUCUAUAAAUGCAAAGUAUCUGGUAUCAU
rnacentral:pre_miRNA from 1 species